rnacentral:rRNA from 1 species
CCUACGGGUGGCAGCAGUCGAGAAUCAUUCACAAUGGGGGAAACCCUGAUGGUGCGACGCCGCGUGGGGGAAUGAAGGUCUUCGGAUUGUAAACCCCUGUCAUGUGGGAGCAAAUUAAAAAGAUAGUACCACAAGAGGAAGAGACGGCUAACUCUGUGCCAGCAGCCGCGGGAAUACAGAGGUCUCAAGCGUUGUUCGGAAUCACUGGGCGUAAUGCGUGCGUAGGCUGUGUCGUAAGUCGUGUGUGAAAGGCGCGGGCUCAACCCGCGGACGGCACAUGAUACUGCGAGACUAGAGUAAUGGAGGGGGAACCGGAAUUCUCGGUGUAGCAGUGAGAUGCGUAGAUAUCGAGAGGAACACUCGUGGCGAAGGCGGGUUCCUGGACAUUAACUGACGCUGAGGCACGAAGGCCAGGGGAGCGAAAGGGAUUAGAUACCCCAGUAGUC